AACCAGACUCCUACGGGAGGCAGCAGUGAGGAAUAUUGGUCAAUGGACGCAAGUCUGAACCAGCCAUGCCGCGUGCAGGAUGACGGCUCUAUGAGUUGUAAACUGCUUUUGUACGAGGGUAAACCCCGAUACGUGUAUCGGGUUGAAAGUAUCGUACGAAUAAGGAUCGGCUAACUCCGUGCCAGCAGCCGCGGUAAUACGGAGGAUCCGAGCGUUAUCCGGAUUUAUUGGGUUUAAAGGGUGCGUAGGCGGUUUGAUAAGUUAGAGGUGAAAUGUGGGGGCUCAACCCCGGCGAGCCGUUGAAACUGGCUGUCUUGAGAUGUCGAGAGGUAUGCGGAAUGCGCAGUGUAGCGGUGAAAUGCUUAGAUAUUGCGCAGAACUCCGAUUGCGAAGGCAGCAUACCGGCGGCGAUCUGACGCUGAGGCACGAAAGCGUGGGUAUCGAACAGGAUUAGAUACCCCUGUA
rnacentral:rRNA from 1 species